rnacentral:lncRNA from 1 species
GUCCGCCUCAUCAGCUAUGAAGUCUGUGAAUCCUGGGAGAAUCAGGAAGUCGUCGUAGGUGAGGCAGUCGGCGCUGGCAAAGAGCUGCUGCGCGGGGAGCCAGUUAUCGGGCACAUAGUCGGUGCCGCCCCUGAUCAGACUGGUGCACAAAGACUCCAUCUAACAGCUACCCGUAUUUCCUGACAGUGACUCUGAAAGGUAUCCCAAUACCUAAAUAUACAGAAAUUACUGGAAGAAAUAUUCAAUCUGGUGUGAUAUACUAGGUGAAUGUAUCAUAAGAAUUUCUGUUCCUUACAAAAUUGUGAAUGCAAAGUUUUAGGAAUUAUAUUGGCUAUAUGAUACUGAUCUUUGAUAUCUUUGUACCUUAAAGCAAGAUUUUCUUAGUGAACACUGGCAUUCACAGUAUUGUUUUUUCUCUGGCUAUAUCAAGAGCUUUAGUUGUUUUUUGUUAAAUGAAAAGAAUGAAGAGACUAUCUUUCAGACUUAAAAGUUAAAGUUCUGUGUGCAGACUUUCAUGUCAUGUAGAAAAAGGAAAUAAAGGGAGUUA